rnacentral:rRNA from 1 species
AACGCGAAGAACCUUACCUGGUCUUGACAUCCACGGAAGUUUUCAGAGAUGAGAAUGUGCCUUCGGGAACCGUGAGACAGGUGCUGCAUGGCUGUCGUCAGCUCGUGUUGUGAAAUGUUGGGUUAAGUCCCGCAACGAGCGCAACCCUUAUCCUUUGUUGCCAGCGGUCCGGCCGGGAACUCAAAGGAGACUGCCAGUGAUAAACUGGAGGAAGGUGGGGAUGACGUCAAGUCAUCAUGGCCCUUACGACCAGGGCUACACACGUGCCACAAUGGCGCAUACAAAGAGAAGCGACCUCGCGAGAGCAAGCGGACCUCAUAAAGUGCGUCGUAGUCCGGAUUGGAGUCUGCAACUCGACUCCAUGAAGUCGGAAUCGCUAGUAAUCGUGGAUCAGAAUGCCACGGUGAAUACGUUCCCGGGCCUUGUACACACCG